rnacentral:tRNA from 1 species
GGGGGCUGUGGCUCAGUGGUAGAGCACCUGCUUGGCAUGCAGAAGAUUCCAGGUUCAAUCCCUGGCACCUACA